GGAGACGUAGCUCAGCUGGUUAGAGCGCUUGCUUGACAUGCAAGAGGUCAUAGGUUCGAGUCCUACCGCCUCCACCA
rnacentral:tRNA from 1 species